rnacentral:rRNA from 1 species
AUUGAACGCUGGCGGCAUGCCUUACACAUGCAAGUCGAACGGCAGCACGGGAGCAAUCCUGGUGGCGAGUGGCGAACGGGUGAGUAAUGUAUCGGAACGUACCUUUCAGUGGGGGAGUAACGUAGCGAAAGUUACGCUAAUACCGCAUAUUCUGUGAGCAGGAAAGCAGGGGAGUCGCAAGACCUUGCGCUGAUUGAGCGGCCGAUAUCAGAUUAGCUAGUUGGUGAGGUAAAGGCUCACCAAGGCGACGAUCUGUAGCGGGUCUGAGAGGAUGAUCCGCCACACUGGAACUGAGACACGGUCCAGACUCCUACGGGAGGCAGCAGUGGGGGAAUUUUGGACAAUGGGCGCAAGCCUGAUCCAGCCAUGCCGCGUGAGUGAAGAAGGCCUUCGGUUGUAAGACGUCUUUC